UUCAAUUAAUCCGUAAACGAAUCUCUCAUCACUCAGCCCUCUCUCACUCACUUUCCAAUUCUAAAAACCCUAAUCGCAGCAGCAAAACAUUAAACGAACCAACUCUGUUAUGAAGAGACGCUGCUACAAAUACAAUGGCUUCCAAUCGUCGUCAUUCUUCAACCUCAACUCUGUUAAAUUUUAAUGUCACAUAUUUACUAACAAUUAGUUAUUGAUUAAUUCAUUGUAUUCUCUCCUCUGAUCCCUAAUUUACUCUCUUUCUCACUGGUUGCGUUUGGAAUCUGAGAAAAUGGGUUUGAUUUCGGGGAUUUUCAUGGGGAUGAUCUUGGAGAUUGUGUUAAUGGCUGGAUGGAGUCACAUGAUGAGGCAACGCAGCACCAAGUGAAUUGCUAAGGUACGUGCGGAAUUUCUUUUACGGAUUAAUUUUCAAAUAAAAUUAGUGUCUACAGUUCUUAUCUCUUUCUUUCUUUCAUUAUUAUUUUUUUCUUUAAUUGAUUCUCCAUGUUAGAAUUUCAAGUUUCCAUGUUAGGAAUGCAAUGAAGCUUUGAGUCCACUCUUCUAUUUUGCCUUGGAAUAUGUGAAAUUUAGAGUAUAGGUCUUGUUUUAGGGCUGUGUUGCUUUGGGGGUGGCUUCAUUUUUCAUUCAUUAUUUUUCUGAAAAAUGAGAAUUUCAUUAGAAGAAAUGCCAAUGCAAUUAUUAUUGCUCUACGUUUUCAUGUAAUAUGAUACAGUUUAACAUCAAUUAUUUUUGUAAUUGUUUUUUCUACUUUCCAUCUUUUUUAUGUAAGAGUAAAUUUAUUUGUUUUGUUCAUCCACAUAUUUUUAUUGUUGCUUCUCUCUCUGAGAACCAAGAAUAUAUUAUUUUUUUGAAAUGAGAAUAUAAUAAAAUCAGAGAAGAAAAAGCCGCCAUUGUUAUCUUCAUCAAGAAAACCGUGAGAGCUCUCGUCAAGACUCAGACUUGGACUCACUGAUCGAACACUAAAACGCUUUUGUAAGGUGGAAUGGCAAAGAGUUACUUCAAGCAAGAGCAUGAUCUUGAUAAGAGACAGUGCAGAGGCUGCUAGAAUUAGAGAGAAAUACCCUGAUAGGAUUCCGGUGAGAUUAUACUUUUAAGCAACAUGAUUGAUUGACCAUCUUGUUACUUUGAUGGAAUUUUAGUCUCUGUUUUUUUUCUCCCUUGAUUAAAUGUACUAUGAAAUUCUACCACUCUUUGUUGUUCUAUUUCUUAGAUUAAAAUUGGUAUUAUGAUGAGGUUGCAUAAGUUCAUGAUCAUUUUACCAGAUUUAAAUCAAAAUGUAUUGUUGCUUCACGCAUUUGAUUACCAUUUUGCUCAAAUUUUGGGUUCUCCCAUUUUAUGCUUGCUUGUGUAGAAAGUAUAAAAUUAUGUAUACUUCUGUACUUAAUGAUAGUUUUGUGGCUAAUUGCAUAAAAUUUAUAUGCCCAUUAAUUAUUGCUUUCAAUACUGGAGUUUUCUGAUGGAUUU